GCGGACGGGUGAGUAAUGCUUAGGAAUCUGCCUAUUAGUGGGGGACAACAUUCCGAAAGGAAUGCUAAUACCGCAUACGUCCUACGGGAGAAAGCAGGGGAUCUUCGGACCUUGCGCUAAUAGAUGAGCCUAAGUCGGAUUAGCUAGUUGGUGGGGUAAAGGCCUACCAAGGCGACGAUCUGUAGCGGGUCUGAGAGGAUGAUCCGCCACACUGGGACUGAGACACGGCCCAGACUCCUACGGGAGGCAGCAGUGGGGAAUAUUGGACAAUGGGCGCAAGCCUGAUCCAGCAAUGCCGCGUGCAGGAAGAAGGCCUUCGGGCUGUAAACUGCUUUUGUCAGGGAAGAAAUCUUCUGGGCUAAUACCCCGGGAGGAUGACGGUACCUGAAGAAUAAGCACCGGCUAACUACGUGCCAGCAGCCGCGGUAAUACGUAGGGUGCGAGCGUUAAUCGGAAUUACUGGGCGUAAAGCGUG
rnacentral:rRNA from 1 species